UGAAGAAGGGUCCCGACCUGAAAUGACACCUAUCCAUGUUCUCCUGCUAUGCUCCAUGACCCGCUGAACGACUCCAGCGCUCUGUAGGUGGAUGGGUUCCAG